CCUCAUAAGAAACAUUGUCUUAACCCCCACAGAAAAAAAAGUUAACAUUUUCCCUUUUUUUUUUUUUUACAAGUGUAAAUGCUACAGUGUACCACAUUACAUAUAGAAAAACAACAACCCUGCAUUCAAAAUGCUACUGCAGCUAAUAACAUUCAACUAGACUAAGUCUGUAACUGUUAGCAGAGCCACUAGCUUCUUCCAGUUACACUAAAAACAUCUCAUAAGAGAGUGUUUUCAGGUAAGGAACAGCUUUAUGAGUAAGUGAUGAGGUACUCGGGAUAAAUCUGUUGUUUUUCAAAGACAACAUAGAUGCUCGGAUCGCUCUCCCUGUCGACACAGCUGUCGUAGUGGGUUUUGCUGUCUUCUUUUGGCGGAGGUCGGACAUAGCUGCUGUUCCCCUGGGUGUACUCCCCCACCAGGACCAGAGCAACAAACAUGGUCUUCACCGGCUGUCUGUUGACUGUUGUAUUUUCAUCCAAGUCAGAGUCCGGGGUAUCUUUGUCCGAGUAGGGGACAUACCUGUCUGAGUAGGAUGCAUCUCUGGCAAAGUAGCUCCCUAGAAAUGGAAUAGAAGUGUUAUAGCACGAUACAUUUUGACUAUAACAUCAGCACGACAGAAAACACCUCUUUAUUUCAUGACUUGUUCAUUGUAGUGUUCGAAGGGUUACAGAAAUUGGUAUUGUGGGAAAUUAUUUCCCAGUGGUGGUUAAAAUCCUGUCUAUGCAAUGGCGUAAUUUCAGCCAAUUUAAUUCUUCAUACUAAAAUCAUAAAUACAACAGUUUAUGGGCUGCAAAAUGUUAAUGAGAAGGGUCACAGAAAUCCGAAAGGAAGCAGUUUAAACAUUACCCAAUUUUUUUUCGUACCUUUGCCAUAGAGAGUGCCAUUUACACCACACAUCCUCCAGUCGAAGUUUUGGUCACAGAUGGCAUCAAUCAGCGACUGUCUAGUCCCGUGGAACAAGUACAGCUGAUUCACAGGAAAACGUUCUCCAGAGUUUGAGAGGUGACGGAAGCUGAUGUGUCAGCUACACCCUAAAGAAGAAAUGAAGAGUCGACAUGACAGAAAUCUGAAAGUGCCCAAUGUGUGUGUGGGUUGAUCAACGCAGCUUGUGUCACGUCCUGGGUCACAGUAGGCCUUCUCGAUGUCCUCCAUGUCAGGCAGGUCCUUCCAGGUCACUCCGUCACUGCCUAACACCUGCCACCUAUAAGGAGGAGCCAAACUUACAGUUGUCCUGGAAAAAGUGCUGGCAGGCGUGGAGCUUGUUGCAGGACGUCGUCUUCUUGCAGGAACCGUGCAAACCAUUACCCUUGUUGUAAAAUGGGCAGAUCUAGAGGAUAUGGGAGGACAACAAAUGUGCAUUGCAGUUUAUUCAGAAAUGUAGUAAAUAUAGAAAGUGUUGAGUGCAACUUACCUCUGGAAGCAGAGAGGGAUCAUUCUGCAGUAACAGCUGGAACAGCUGUUCAUCAGUCAGAUCCUGAAGACCAUGUUUCUUCAAAAGCUCUGCGUUGUUUUCAAAAGUCAGGCUGUGGUUCUUUUUACACUUUGGUCUAAAAAGAUAUAAGAAUUAAUAAAACAUUGAAUGGAAACGCUUCCAAUUCCUCGAGAGAUUAAACAAAAAAACAGUACUUAAUUUAUACUACAAGUGAUGUGGAUCAUAGUCCAUUUUGCAGUGUGUUCAUAUUUAUAUAAUAAACUUUAAAAAGUACAGUAUUUCUCUUUUGAGUUCUCUAGCAUGUUAGUAUUUGGGUUGCAAUUUGAUUACACCCCUAUGUCUGCAGAUCUAAAUAGUGUCCUUCAAUUCAAGAGAGUAAACUUGAUUUUUAGCUGUUGCGCAAAUAUUGUGUUUGUCUGGGCACUCGAGACUGUUAUGUUUGAUCUUCAAAGAUGAAUGAGAAAAAACAAUGUUCUACUGUACCCCUCUCUAAUUAAAUAACUAUUCUGUAUUUAAAAUAUAUAAUAACACCUCAUUUUAUAUCAUUUCGCCUUACAUUGUUAUAUCCUGGUUUUAUUAUUCGCAUUUUAAGAUGUCAUUUAUUUAUUUUCUCUGAAAAUCACUCGAUAUUGUCUCUGUUUGAAAUGCAUAACAUUAAAUCUCCCUACAUGCAUGUGGAUGUUG